AAGACACUAGUAAAAUCAUUACCUUGCCUUGUCGAGGCAAAAUUGUGGGUUAAACCCCCGCGUGUCUUA
rnacentral:tRNA from 1 species